GACAGAGGGUGCAAACGUUGUUCGGAAUUACUGGGCGUAAAGCGCGUGUAGGUGGCGAGGCAAGUCGGGUGUGAAAGCCCUGGGCUCAACCCAGGAAGUGCACUCGAUACUGCCUAGCUAGAGUCCCGGAGAGGUUGGUGGAACUCUCGGUGUAGAGGUGAAAUUCGUAGAUAUCGAGAAGAACACCGGUGGCGAAGGCGGCCAACUGGACGGUGACUGACACUGAGACGCGAAAGCGUGGGGAGCAAACAGGGA
rnacentral:rRNA from 1 species